rnacentral:rRNA from 1 species
AGAGUUAAAAAGUACGUGAAAUUGUUGAAAGGGAAGCGCUUGCAGCCAGACUUGUCCGCAGUUGCUCAGCCGGUCUCCUGACCGGUGUACUCUUCUGCGGCCAGGCCAGCAUCAGUUCGGGCGGUCGGAUAAAGACCUCGGGAAUGUAGCUCCUCUCGGGGAGUGUUAUAGCCCGGGGUGGAAUGCGGCCAGCCUGGACUGAGGAUCUCGCUUCGGCUAGGAUGCUGGCGUAAUGGCUGUAAGCGGCCCGUCUU